rnacentral:tRNA from 3 species
GCCGCUAUGGUGAAAUUGGUAGACACGCUGCUCUUAGGAAGCAGUGCGAGAGCAUCUCGGUUCGAAUCCGAGUGGCGGCA